rnacentral:lncRNA from 1 species
GUAGGUUGACUGUCGGGACAAGCCCAGGGAUGGCAUUGUUUCUAUUUGCUGAUAAAUGACUCUGGGGCUGUGAAGACUCAGACCCAAGGAGUGACUCAGAAAGUCAGGGGCCCAUGUCAUUCUGCUCUGGGUUCAGACGUGCACUGCAGCAGCACCGGGACUUGACAGCCCUACGGCUCGAUCAGCUUUCUGUUUUCAUUGCCUUACGAUGCCAUGAGUGGAACUAUUGUCAAAUCAGAGUUCACUCCCCAGCUUUUCAGUCUUUCCCCUAAUUCUUGCUCUAUCAGAGGUCGAGGACAACAGUAUAAUGAUUCAUAGGUUCUACUUCCUGGCAAGUAAUCAUUUUCCCACGGGCCCUUGUGAAUUGAUGAAUAUGAAGACACUAAGAAAGCAGAAAUAGAACUGAGAAGAAUGAAAUAACUGUCUCUACCUUUCUCGAAUUGUCUAAUAUGGAAAGAAUGAAAGACAGCUAAUAAGCAACUCUCUGCAAGAAGACAUAUGGCUUAGGUUCUGCUGAGCUAUUGGUGAUUUGAUUCCAUGCAUAUGUAUUCACUACUGAGAUGGGAUCUUGCUAUGUGGCCCAGGCUGGCCUCAAACUCCUGGCCUCAAGAUAUUUCCCCCUGCCUUGGCCUCUCAAAGUGAAUCUACUUGGAGAGAGUCAAACACAGAAUCCCUUUGAAUUUAAUGGCCAUUCCAGGUGAUUUGAACAGCCAAAUAAGAAACAGGUCCUCUUCAAUGUACAAUCUGCCAAGUAUGAAGUCUGAAUGACCAUCAUUAUUAUGUAUUUAAUGUGCAUAGAAAAUCUAUCUGCAACCUUCCAGAGUGUACCAGAAGUUUGGAAUGUACAUUAUUAUUGGCUCCAUCUCAAACCACUCAUAAAUCAAAGAAAAUAGCAGUUCCAGAGGAAUCAUCAUAGAGGCUUCUAGGCCCCCAUGCUGUGUGAACCUGGUGAGAAAGGGAAGUCUGCUCUCACUGGACACUGGAACUGUUUGUCUCUGUCUCUGCUGUACUUUCCCUGCCUCUACCUCACUUAGUAAAGAAAUCAUCUUUGCUUGAUAACUAAAACAACCAAUAAGGCUGAGAAAGGGGAAAACCCACAUCUGGAUUUAAAUACAAGGUAUUGGGCCAGCUGCUGGGGAUUAAACUUUGAACAAAACAGAUAGAAUCUAUGUCCUCAUGGGAGUGGCUAAUGGGAGAGUCGGAACAAAAAAAUAGCCAAGGAUAAUCCAGCAAAUGAUUUGGUGAAUGCUAUCAAAGAGAGAAAUACACAUGCUCUGGGAACACCAAGUAGGUACCUAAUACCUAACCUGUACCUGGGGGGCUGGAAAGGGCUUCUUGGAAGAGGCAGAGACUAAAAUGAAGAAUAAGCAUAAGUUAAGACAAAGCUGGGGUGGGGUCAGAAAGAGUGUGAUAGGCCAACGCAGCAACAUGAGCCAAGACUCAAAAAUAAGAGACAGUGUGGCACAUUUGAUGUAGGAAAGACAUUUAGCUGGGAUAGAAAGAAGGCUAGUGUUGGGGCUGAAUGAGGUUGCAUAAAAGUUUGUAAGCCAAGUUAAGGAAUUGAUCAAAUUUAUAUUUUAGAAUGAUCACUCUGACCUCAGCAUUACAUGACCUGAAGGGGUUAAGCCCAUACAUCUGUAGAGAGACCCGUUAGAAUAGGACUGCAGUAAUAUGGUGAGAGACACUGGUGCCUAACUAGGCUGGUGAUCAUAGAGAUAAAGGGAUAUAUGGGAGAGGUAGAGCCGACAGCCAUUGAUAACUGGUGGUCGGCCAGGUCAAGGGGACAGUGUCUGCUUUAGGUAAUUGGCUUGAUGAUAAUCUCAUUUUCAAAGAUCAGGAACACAGGCCUGAGAGUACAUUUGGAGAGGAAGAUGAUUCGGGUUUGCAUCAUGUAGGGUUCGAGGUGUCUAUGGGACACUAUAUGCAGAAGUCCAGUAGGCAAUUGGUUCUGUGGGCCUAGCACUCAGAGGAGAGUGCGAGUCUAAUGACAGAAAAUUGGCAGUCACCAUCGUGUAGAUGGUAAUGGAUGGUAUGAUUUGGGGUGAUUGCUGAGGCAGGAACAUGGGCACAAUGCUGAGGAGUGCAAAUGGCUAAGGGAUGGGACACAGCAGGAACCUGCAAAGGAGCCCAGAAAACAAGAAAUAGGGAGAAAGCCUGGGAACACUGUGAUUCUACGGAAUCACAGAAUUGAAGACAAACAAUGUGAAACUAAGUACAGGCCCAUUUACUAACAUAUGUGUGUGUAUAUAUAUAUAUAUAUAUAUAUAUAUACACACACACACAUAUAUAUACUUAUAUAUAUAUACACACACAUAUAUAUACUUAUAUAUAUAUACACUUAUAUAUAUAUACUUAUAUAUACUUAUAUAUAUAUACACUUAUAUAUAUAUACUUAUAUAUACUUAUAUAUAUAUACACUUAUAUAUAUAUACUUAUAUAUACUUAUAUAUAUAUAUAUAAAAUUUAUUUAUUUAUUUUUAUUUUAUUUUAUUUAUUUAUUUUUGAGACAGAGUCUCCCUCUCUGACCCAGGCUGGAGUGCCGUGGUAUGAUCUCGGCUCACUGCAACUUCUGCCUCCCAGCUUCAAGCAAUUCUCCUGUCUUAGCUUCCCAAGUAGCUGGGAUUACAGGCGUGCACCACCACACCAGGCUAAUUUUGUAUUUUUAGUAGAGACGGGGUUUUGCCAUGUUGGCCAGGCUGGUCUCGAACCCCUGACCUCAGGUGAUCUGCCCACCUCAACCUCCCAAAGUGCUGGGAUUACAGGUGUGAGCCACUGCAUCUGGCCUCAUAUAUUUUACUAUAACAAAUCAGUGUAGGCCAAAUAAAGUUAGAAAUGGAAGCUAAUGGAAAUAAAGAAUAGGCUUUCCUGUUAGUAUCUAUAGGUGUGUGUGUGUGUGUUCGUUAUUUAGGGAAAGAAACAGGGAACUUGGGGCAUAUAAUAUUUAUGUUCCCUUAGCUUAGGCAUAUAUGGUAUAUUUAGUUACUUAAUUAAUUUUUUAUUUAGAAGUUAUGUAUAGAGCAUUUUUCCUAGGCCAGUGGGGGAUUAAACCAGAAAUAUAAGAAGUGUCUGCCUUCUGGAAGCUUGUGAUCUAGUUAGGGGUAUCACAAGUGCACAGCGUUCACCAGUGGCAGAGAAGCAUGUGAUGAGUACCCAGAGCUUAUAUUGAGAAUAAGGUAUACAAGAAUUUAGAGGAGGCCAAUGUUGAUUUUCACCAAGAGUAUGGGACAGAGAGACAAGACAGGGUUGGUCAUCUAGUUCUGUGCACUGAAUAUAAUUUUGCAGGUUUAGGAGUGUUUGAAAACUACAAGGAAGAUAGAAUCUUGGUCUUGUUCUCCAGCAUGCCCUUUCUUGAACUCACCAGGGUAAUGCUGCAUCUUUUCAGAAAUGCCUCUGGCUUCUCAAAGCAACUUUCAUCCUGGAGAGGAACAAUUAGUCUUUGUCUUUCAUUAGUAAAAGAUUUAACGGCUCAGAAGGAGAAGCUAGUGGUGACUUUUCAAUCACCCCUUCUACCUCCCAG